rnacentral:rRNA from 1 species
AACGAACGCUGGCGGCAGGCCUAAAACAUGCAAGUCGAGCGGGCAUAGCAAUAUGUCAGCGGCGGACGGGUGAAUAACACGUGGGAACAUGCCCUUUGGUACGGAACAACUCAGGGAAACUUGAGCUAAUACCGUAUGUGCCGGUAACGGGAAAGAUUUAUCGCCAAAGGAUUGGCCCGCGUCCGAUUAGCUAGUUGGUGAGGUAACGGCUCACCAAGGCGACGAUCGGUAGCUGGUUUGAGAGAACGAUCAGCCACACUGGGACUGAGACACGGCCCAGACUCCUACGGGAGGCAGCAGUUGGGAAUCUUGCGCAAUGGGCGAAAGCCUGACGCAGCGACGCCGCGUGAGGGAUGACGGCUC